rnacentral:lncRNA from 1 species
GGGGGGGUCGUACGAACUUAAGAGGAGGUCACUCAGGAAGAGGCUCUGAAGUAAACACAAUACCGUACUGUUGGUUGCAUGGGAAAAACAGAGGUCAUUGGACAAAUGAGUGUAGAGCAGCACUAGAGGCGAGAGAAAAAGAAGCCGCAAAGCAAAGAGAAGCAGAAGAGCAGGUGAAGAUAGUGAACCACACUUCGUCCACUUUUCAGUCAGCUGCUUACAGCUCCACGCCAAAUUGGCACUCAUAUCAACAACCAAAUUACUUCGCACAAGGUUUUUAUCCACCUCCUCCACAGUACAGUCAAAUGAGACCGCCUAUCCCAGUUUAGCAUCAAAAUUACAAUAUACCGAAGCCACUUAAGAUAGACCCACCACAACAAAUGCCUUUGC